AACAGGUAAUUGGAGAACAGCCAUCUGGAGAUUUAAAACUACCAGUAAAGUAUUAGGGGAUGCCUUACCCAAGACUAACUCAGCAAACUUCAUGAAGGAGCAUGGAUUUUGAACCUGUUACACCUAAAUCUGUACUCACCACAGGUUAUUAUAAAGAUGCUAUUUUUGAACAACAAAUAGUGCUGGAAAACUGUGGUGCAAAGAGUUGGAAACUGACCGUGGGGGAGAAUUGCGAUUGUUGUUUUCAGUGCUAAUUGCCAUAAAGCAAACAUUUGGACAGUAUUCAUUCAUUUGGAAAGCAAGCAAGCAAGCAAGCAAGCAAGCAAGCAAGCAAGCAAGCAAGCAAGAAAGAAAGAAAGAAAGAAAGAAAGAAAGAAAGAAAGAAAGAAAGAAAGAAAGAAAGAAAGAAAGAAAGAAAGAAAGAAAGAAAGAAAGAAAGAAAGAAUCUCCAUGCCACACCAGCAGGACAUAGGAUGACAACACUGAUUGCAAAAAAUAAUGCAAAUUGAUGUUUAAUUGAGAAGGUAUUCUUAAAACAAUGAAGAUUAUGGAUUUACAAAAGUAUGCAAGAGAAAACUGCUUGCAAAAUUAAACACCUUAUUCCAUUA